AGUGGUUAGAGUGUAAGGGCGGCAGGUAGACUAGUGGUUAGAGUGUAGGGGCGGCAGGUAGACUAGUGGUUAGAGUGUAAGGGCGGCAUGUAGACUAGUGGUUAGAGUGUAGGGGUGGCAGGUAGACUAGUGGUUAGAGUGUAGGGGCGGCAGGUAGACUAGUGGUUAGAGUGUAGGGGUGGCAGGUAGACUAGUGGUUAGAGUGUAGGGGUGGCAGGUAGACUAGUGGUUAGAGUGUAGGGGUGGCAGGUAGACUAGUGCUUAGAGUGUAAGGGCGGCAGGUAGACUAGUGGUUAGAGUGUAGGGGCGGCAGGUAGACUAGUGGUUAGAGUGUAGGGGUGGCAGGUAGACUAGUGGUUAGAGUGUAGGGGUGGCAGGUAGACUAGUGGUUAGAGUGUAGGGGUGGCAGGUAGACUAGUGCUUAGAGUGUAGGGGCGGCAGGUAGACUAGUGGUUAGAGUGUAGGGGCGGCAGGUAGACUAGUGGUUAGAGUGUAGGGGCGGCAGGUAGACUAGUGGUUAGAGUGUAGGGGUGGCAGGUAGACUAGUGGUUAGAGUGUAGGGGCGGCAGGUAGACUAGUGGUUAGAGUGUAGGGGCGGCAGGUAGACUAGUGGUUAGAGUGUAGGGGUGGUAGGUAGACUAGUGGUUAGAGUGUAGGGGCGGCAGGUAGACUAGUGGUUAGAGUGUAGGGGCGGCAGGUAGACUAGUGGUUAGAGUGUAGGGGCGGCAGGUAGACUAGUGGUUAGAGUGUAGGGGCGGCAGGUAGACUAGUGGUUAGAGUGUAGGGGCGGCAGGUAGACUAGUGGUUAGAGUGUAGGGGUGGCAGGUAGACUAGUGCUUAGAGUGUAGGGGCGGCAGGUAGCCUAGUGGUUAGAGUGUAGGGGCGGCAGGUAGACUAGUGGUUAGAGUGUAGGGGCGGCAGGUAGACUAGUGGUUAGAGUGUAGGGGUGGUAGGUAGACUAGUGGUUAGAGUGUAGGGGCGGCAGGUAGACUAGUGGUUAGAGUGUAGGGGCGGCAGGUAGACUAGUGGUUAGAGUGUAAGGGCGGCAGGUAGACUAGUGGUUAGAGUGUAGGGGCGGCAGGUAGACUAGUGGUUAGAGUGUAGGGGCGGCAGGUAGACUAGUGGUUAGAGUGUAGGGGCGGCAGGUAGACUAGUGGUUAGAGUGUAGGGGCGGCAGGUAGACUAGUGGUUAGAGUGUAGGGGCGGCAGGUAGACUAGUGGUUAGAGUGUAGGGGCGGCAGGUAGACUAGUGGUUAGAGUGUAGGGGCGGCAUGUAGACUAGUGGUUAGUCUGUAGGGGCGGCAGGUAGACUAGUGGUUAGAGUGUAGGGGCGGCAGGUAGACUAGUGGUUAGAGUGUAGGGGCGGCAGGUAGACUAGUGGUUAGUCUGUAGGGGCGGCAGGUAGACUAGUGGUUAGAGUGUAGGGGCGGCAGGUAGACUAGUGGUUAGAGUGUAGGGGCGGCAGGUAGACUAGUGGUUAGUCUGUAGGGGCGGCAGGUAGACUAGUGGUUAGAGUGUAGGGGCGGCAGGUAGACUAGUGGUUAGAGUGUAGGGGCGGCAUGUAGACUAGUGGUUAGAGUGUAGGGGCGGCAGGUAGACUAGUGGUUAGAGUGUAGGGGCGGCAGGUAGACUAGUGGUUAGUCUGUAGGGGCGGCAGGUAGACUAGUGGUUAGAGUGUAGGGGCGGCAGGUAGACUAGUGGUUAGUCUGUAGGGGCGGCAGGUAGACUAGUGGUUAGAGUGUAGGGGCGGCAGGUAGACUAGUGGUUAGAGUGUAGGGGCGGCAGGUAGACUAGUGGUUAGUCUGUAGGGGCGGCAGGUAGACUAGUGGUUAGUCUGUAGGGGCGGCAGGUAGACUAGUGGUUAGAGUGUAGGGGCGGCAGGUAGACUAGUGGUUAGUCUGUAGGGGCGGCAGGUAGACUAGUGGUUAGAGUGUAGGGGCGGCAGGUAGACUAGUGGUUAGUCUGUAGGGGCGGCAGGUAGACUAGUGGUUAGAGUGUAGGGGCGGCAGGUAGACGAGUGGUUAGAGCGUUGGGCCAGUAACUGAAAGGGUGCAAGAUCGAAUCCCCGAGCUAACAAGGUAAAAAUCUGUCAUUUUGCCCCUGAACAAGGCAGUUAACCCACUGUUCCUAGGCCAUCAUUGUAAAUAAUAAUUUGUUCUUAACUGACUUGCCUGGUUAGAUAAGAUAAUAAUAAUAAUGAGUGUUAUGACGUAGAGUUCAAACAAAGUGUUACCGGUUAGUUUUUAUUCUUGUUGUUUGGACACAUUUAGAUGAAUGUUGUCGGUAAACAUUUCAUUGUCUUCACUUCUGUCUCCUGCAUGUUUUCAUGUAUGAUGAUCGUCAAAGGAGUCAGUCACAGAAAGGGACAUUACUAAAACCACACAGGAGAACAAAGUAGCGUGAGCACAGCUCAACUCAAUGACUUGGGGCUAUUGAAAGGAGUAUUAUAUCAGCCUGCAUACCUGGUGGUUGUAAUGACAACAACGUCUACCGAUCAGCCGACCGACAAGGUCCCUGAGCAAGGUUCCUGUUGGGGACUGUUGACAUUAUACAGUUCUGUGUGGGAGUAACACACACACACACAGAUACACACACAGAGAUAUACACACACACACAUAGAUGUACACACACACACACACACACACACACACAGAUACAUACCCAGAUAUCCACACACACACACAGAUAUACACACACACAAACACACACUCACAUAGAUAUACACACACACAAACACUCUCACAUAGAUAUAUACACACACACACAUAGAUAUAUACACACACACAUAGAUAUACACACACACACAUAGAUAUACACACACACACAUAGAUAUAUACACACACACACACACAUAGAUAUACACACAAACACUCACACAUUCACUCACAUAGAUAUACACACACACAUAGAUAUACACGCAAACACACACACACAGAUAUACACAAACACACAUAUAGAUAGAUAUACACACACAUGCAUAGAUAUGCGCACACAUACUGUUGAUAUACACACACAUACACACAGGGAGCGUUGGGAUUGUGUGCUGGUUUCCAUGCAUUUACACGUCAUCAUCACAGGAGUGAGAUAUAUACACACACAGAUAUACACACACACACACACAUAUAGAUAUAUAUAUAUAUAUUUUUUUUUUUAACCAGGAAGGGCUCAUUGAGAUUAAAAUCUAUUUUUCAAGAGCGCCCUGGCCAAGACAGGCAGCACCAAGUCAUUACAAAAAUAUUACAGACAGACAACAUGAAAAACUACAAGUAAUCUAGUAAAAACCAUUGAAUUCACAGGAGUAUAAAACAGUCAAUUGAAAACAUUGACAGGUCAGGGAAUCAGCCUCAAAAUCCUUCAUCAGUGAUUUAAAAACACCAAUCGGGACAAGUUCUUCCAGUUUAAAAGUAUUUUGUAAGGUGUUCCAAGACGAUGGCGCAGAGUACAUAAAAGCCCGUUUACCAAAUUCAGUUGGGACAUUUGGAACAGUUAGCAGGAUAAAGUCCAGCGAACGAAGAGACGACUCACCACAUUUCUGAACAAUAAAAUGCACAAAUUAAAAGGCAGUAAACCUAAAAUGUCUUUGUAAAUAAAAGUAUACCAGUGACUGAGCCUACGAGUGACUAGAGAAGGCCAGCCAACCCUGGUAUACAAAGUGCAGUGGUGCGUAAGGUUUUGCAGGGUAAAAUAAAUCUCAAAGUGCUAUGGUAAAGAGUGUCAAUUGAUCUCAAACACUGAGUGGAAGCAUUCAUAUAUAAAAUAUCCCCAUAGUCUAGUAAAGGCAUAAAUGUAGCUGAUACUAGCCUCCUUCUGGCUUCAAAAGAAAAACAGGCCUUAUUCCUAAAAUAAAAUCCCAAUUUCAGCUUAAAUUUAUUUGUAAGUUGUUGAAUGUGCAAUUUAAAAGAGAGGCCAUCAAAUCAAUCAGGGUAGAUUUAUCUGGGCAUUUAAGAUUUGGGCGGGUGGGUGAGUUAAUCAACUGGGUAAGAUUCAUAGAAUUACAAAACAUACACACACACACACACACACACACAGAUAGAUAUACACACAAACACACACACACACACACACAUAGAUAUACACACAUAGAUAUACACACACACACAUAGAUAUACACACAUAGAUAUACACACACACACAUAGAUAUACACACACACUCACAUGGAUAUACACACACACAAACACACACACACACAUAGAUAUACACACACACAUAGAUAUACACACAAACACACACACACUCACAUGGAUAUACACACACACUCACAUGGAUAUACACACACACACACACACACAUAGAUAUACACACACACAUAGAUAUACACACAAACACACACACACACAUAGAUAUACACACACUCACAUAGAUAUACACACAAACACACACUCACAUGGAUGUACACACACACACACACACAUAGAUAUACACACACACAAACACACACACUCACAUAGAUAUACACAUAGAUAUACACACACACAAACUCACAUAGAUAUACACACACACACACACACAUAGAUAUACACAAACACACAUUCAGACACACAUAGAUAUACACACACACACAAACUCACAUAGAUAUACACACACACACACAGAUAUAGACAUACACACAUAGAUAUACACACACAUGCAUACAUAUGCACACACAUAAUGUAGAUAUACACACACAUACACACAGGGAGCGUUGGGAUUGUGUGCUGGUUUACAUGCAUUUACACGUCAUCACAGGAGUGAGUUUGAUGUCACUUCUUUUUGACGUUCUAUUCUACAAUAAUUUUCUAUUGAAUAAAGAGGUUGUCAAUGAUACAUACAUAUGUAGGUGUGCUAGUGCUAUUUUGCAUGUAGCUGUAUCUAUAGAUUCAUUAAAUAAGUAGCUGUUUGCGUAAUGUAUAUAGCACGGAUGUAAAUUGUAUACAUUGCCUGGUUGUUGUGAGGUGUGUGUGUGGGUGUGUGUGAUUUGCCCUGGUCAGAGUUUGCCUAAACCAAAUGUCUAGAUCAGCAAAAGCAAAAUAGGAGGAAGGGGGAGGAAGGGACAGUGACCGUAUGUAACAGAUAUAACAGAUAUAUAGCAAAUGGGGUGAAUACAUAUGCACGCAACAAUUUUCAGUUUAAAAAAUAAUCAUCUUUUGAGAAAUAUAUAUUUUUUUCAUUUCACUUCACCAAUUUGGACUAUUUUGUAUCUGUCCAUUACAUGAAAUCCCAAUAAAAAUCUAUUUAAAUUACAGGUUGCAAUGCAAGAAAAUAGGAAAAAUGCCAAGGGGAUGAAUACUUUUGCAAGGCAUGGUACAUUCUAUAAUAUAUAUAUAUACAGUGCCUUGCGAAAGUAUUCGGCCCCCUUGAACUUUGCGACCUUUUGCCACAUUUCAGGCUUCAAACAUAAAGAUAUAAAACUGUAUUUUUUUGUGAAGAAUCAACAACAUGUGGGACACAAUCAUGAAGUGGAACAACAUUUAUUGGAUAUUUCAAACUUUUUUAACAAAUCAAAAACUGAAAAAUUGGGCGUGCAAAAUUAUUCAGCCCCUUUACUUUCAGUGCAGCAAACUCUCUCCAGAAGUUCAGUAAGGAUCUCUGAAUGAUCCAAUGUUGACCUAAAGGAUUAAUGAUGAUAAAUACAAUCCACCUGUGUGUAAUCAAGUCUCCGUAUAAAUGCACCUGCACUGUGAUAGUCUCAGAGGUCCGUUAAAAGCGCAGAGAGCAUCAUGAAGAACAAGGAACACACCAGGCAGGUCCGAGAUACUGUUGUGAAGAAGUUUAAAGCCGGAUUUGGAUACAAAAAGAUUUCCCAAGCUUUAAACAUCCCAAGGAGAACUGUGCAAGCAAUAAUAUUGAAAUGGAAGGAGUAUCAGACCACUGCAAAUCUACCAAGACCUGGCCAUCCCUCUAAACUUUCAGCUCAUACAAGGAGAAGACUGAUCAGAGAUGCAGCCAAGAGGCCCAUGAUCACUCUGGAUGAACUGCAGAGAUCUACAGCUGAGGUGGGAGACUCUGUCCAUAGGACAACAAUCAGUCGUAUAUUGCACAAAUCUGGCCUUUAUGGAAGAGUGGCAAGAAGAAAGCCAUUUCUUAAAGAUAUCCAUAAAAAGUGUCGUUUAAAGUUUGCACAUGGUGGUGGCAGCAUCAUGGUUUGGGCCUGCUUUUCUUCAGCAGGGACAGGGAAGAUUGAUGGGAAGAUGGAUGGAGCCAAAUACAGGACCAUUCUGGAAGAAAACCUGAUGGAGUCUGCAAAAUACCUGAGACUGGGACGGAGAUUUGUCUUCCAACAAGACAAUGAUCCAAAACAUAAAGCAAAAUCUACAAUGGAAUGGUUCAAAAAUAAACAUAUCCAGGUGUUAGAAUGGCCAAGUCAAAGUCCAGACCUGAAUCCAAUCGAGAAUCUGUGGAAAGAACUGAAAACUGCUGUUCACAAAUGCUCUCCAUCCAACCUCACUGAGCUCGAGCUGUUUUGCAAGGAGGAAUGGGAAAAAAUGUCAAGUCUCUCGAUGUGCAAAACUGAUAGAGACAUACCCCAAGCGACAUACAGCUGUAAUCGCAGCAAAAGGUGGCGCUACAAAGUAUUAACUUAAGGGGGCUGAAUAAUUUUGCACGCCCAAUUUCAGUUUUUGAUUUGUUAAAAAAGUUUGAAAUAUCCAAUAAAUGUUGUUCCACUUCAUGAUUGUGUCCCACUUGUUGUUGAUUCUUUACAAAAAAAUACAGUUUUAUAUAUUUAUGUUUGAAGCCUGUAAUGUGGCAAAAGGUCGCAAAGUUCAAGGGGGCCGAAUACUUUCUCAAGGCACUGUAUCUAUAUACAGUUGAAGUCGGAGGUUUACAUACACUUAGGUUGGAGUCAUUAAAACUCGUUUUUCAACCACUACACAAAUUUCUUGUUAACAAACUAUAGUUUUGGCAAGUCGGUUAGGACAUCUACUUUGUGCAUGACACAAGUAAUCUUUCCAACAAUUGUUUACAGACAGAUUAUUUCACUUAUAAUUCACUGUAUCACAAUUCCAGUGGGUCAGAAGUUUACUUACACAAAGUUGACUGUGCCUUUAAACAGCUUGGAAAAUUCCAGAAAAUUAUUUCAUGGCUUUAGAAGCUUCUGAUAGGCUAACUGACAUAAUUUGAGUCAAUUGGAGGUGGACCUGUGGAUGUAUUUCAAGGCCUAUCUUCAAACUCAGUGCCUCUUUUCUUGACAUCAUGGGAAUAUCAAAAUCAGGCAAUACCUCACAAAUUGUAGACCUCCACAAGUCUGGUUCAUCAUUGGGAGCAAUUUCCAAAUGCCUGAAGGUACCACGUUCAUCUGUACAAACAGUAGUACACAAAUAUAAACACCAUGGGACCAUGCAGCCGUCAUACCUCUCAGGAAGGAUACGCGUUCUGUCUUCUAGAGUUGAGCAUACUUUGGUGCGAAAAGUUCAAAUCAAUCCCAGAACAACAGUAAAGGACUUUGUGAAGAUGCUGGAGGAAAAGUAUCUAGGUGCAAAAGUAUCUAUAUCCACAGUAAAACAAGUCCUAUAUCGACAUAACCUGAAAGGCAGCUCAGCAAGGAAGAAGUCACUGCUCUUAAACCACCAUAAAAAUGCCAGACUGCGGUUUGCAACUGCACAUGGGGACAAAGAUCGUACUUUUUGGAGAAAUGUCCUCUGGUCUGAUGAAACAAAAAUAGAACCGUUAUGUUUGGAGGAACAUGGGGGAGGCUUGCAAGCCGAAGAACACCAUCCCAACCGUGAAGCACGGGGGUGGCGGAAUCAUGUUGUGGGGGUGCUUUGCUGCAGGGGGGACUGGUGCACUUCACAAAAUAGAUGGCAUCAUGAGAGAGGAAGAUUAUGUGGAUAUAUUGAAGCAGCAUCUCAAGACAACAAUCAGGAAGUUAAAGCUUGGUCGCAAAUGGGUCUUCCAAAUGGACAAUGACCCCAAGCAUACUUCCAAAGUUGUGUCAAAAUGGCUUAAGGACAACAAAGUCAAGGUAUUGGAGUGGCCAUCACAAAGCCCUGACUAUAGAAAAUUUGUGGGCAGAACUGAAAAGGCGUGUGCAGGCAAUGAGGCCUACAAACCUGACUCAGUUACACCAGCUCUGUCCGCAGGAAUGGCAAUGCUACCAAAUACUAAUUGAGCGUAUGUAAACUUCUGACCCACUGGGAAUGUGAUAAAAGAAAUAAAAGCUGAAAUAAAUCAUUCUCUCUUCUAUUAUUCUGACAUUUCACAAUCUUAAAAUAAAGUUGUGAUCCUAACUGACCAAGACAGGGAAUUAACUGGCCAAGACAGGAUUAAAUGUCAGGAAUUGUGAAAAACUGAGUUUAUAUGUAUAUGUAAACUUCCGACUUCAACUGUUUAUAUAUAUAUAUACAGUGGGGAGAACAAGUAUUUGAUACACUGCCGACUUUGCAGGUUUUCCUACUUACAAAGCAUGUAGAGGUCUGUAUUUUUUAUCAUAGGUACACUUCAACUGUGAGAGACGGAAUCUAAAACAAAAAUCCAAAAAAUCACAUUGUAUGAUUUUUAAGUAAUUCCUUUGCAUUUUAUUGCAUGACAUAAGUAUUUGAUCACCUACCAACCAGUAAGAAUUCCAGCUCUCACAGACCUGUUAGUUUUUCUUUAAGAAGCCCUCCUGUUCUCCACUCAUUACCUGUAUUAACUGCACCUGUUUGAAUUCAUUACCUGUAUGAAAGACACCUGUCCACACACUCAAUCAAACAGACUCCAACCUCUCCACAAUGGCCAAGACCAGAGAGGGUGUAAGGACAUCAGGGAUAAAAUUGUAGACCUGCACAAGGCUGGGAUGGGCUACAGGACAAUAGGCAAGCAGCUUGGUGAGAAGGCAACAACUGUUGGCGCAAUUAUUAGAAAAUGGAUGAAGUUCAAGAUGACGGUCAAUCACCCUCGGUCUGGGGCUCCAUGCAAGAUCUCACCUCGUAGGGCAUCAAUGAUCAUGAGGAAGGUGAGGGAUCAGCCCAGAACUACACUGCAGGACCUGGUGCAUGACCUGAAGAGAGCUGGGACCACAGUCUCAAAGAAAACCAUUAGUAACACACUACGCUGUCAUGGAUUAAAAUCCUGCAGCACACUCAAGGUCACCCUGCUCAAGCCAGCGCAUGUCCAGGCCCGUCUGAAGUUUGCCAAUGACCAUCUGGAUGAUCCAGAGGAGGAAUGGGAGAAGGUCAUGUGGUCUGAUGAGACAAAAAUAGAGCUUUUUGUUCUAAACUCCACUCGCCGUGUUUGGAGGAAGAAGAAGGAUGAGUACAACCCCAAGAACACCAUCCCAACCGUGAAGCAUGGAGGUGAAAACAUCAUUCUUUGGGGAUGCUUUUCUGCAAAGGGGACAGGACAACUGCACCGUAUUGAGGGGAGGAUGGAUGGAGUCAUGAAUCGCGAGAUCUUGGCCAAUAACCUCCUUCCCUCAGUAAGAGCAUUGAAGAUGGGUCUUGGCUAGGUCUUCCAGCAUGACAGCGACCCGAAACACACAGUCAGGGCACCUAAGGAGUGGCUCCGUAAGCAGCAUCUCAAGGUCCUGGAGGGGCCUUGCCAGUCUCCAGACCUGAACCCAAUAGAACAUCUUUGGAGGGAGCUGAAAGUCCGUAUUGCCCAGCGACAGCCCCGAAACCUGAAGGAUCUGGAGAAGGUCUGUAUGGAUUAGUGGGCCAAAAUCCCUGCUGCAGUGUGUGCAAACCUGGUCAAGAACUACAGGAAACGUAUGAUCUCUGGAAUUGCAAACAAAGGUUUCUGUACCAAAUAUUAAGUUCAGAUUUUCUGAUGUAUCAAAUACGUAUGUCAUGCAAUAAAAUGCAAAUUAAUUACUUAAAAAUCAUACAAUGUGAUUUUCUGGAUUUUUGUUUUAGAUUCCGUCUCUCACAGUUGAAGUGUACCUAUGAUAAAAAAUUAUAGUUACUUCAAUGCCCUUGCUGAUGGUAGGCUUUGUUACUUUGGUCCCAGCUCUCUGCAGGUCAUUCACUAGGUCCCCCCGUGUGAUUCUGGGAUUUUGGUUCACCGUUCUUGUGAUCAUUUUGACCCCACAGGGUGAGAUCUUGCGUGGAGCCCCAGAUCGAAGGAGAUUAUCAGUGGUCUUGUAUGUCUUCCAUUUCCUAAUGAUUGCUCCCACAGUUGAAUUCUUCAAACCAAGCUGCUUACCAAUUGCAGAUUCAGUCUUCCCAGCCUGGUGCAGGUCUACAAUUUUGUUUCUGGUGUCCUUUGACAGCUCUUUGGUCUUGGCCAUAGUGGAGUUUGGAGUGUGACUGUUUGAGGUUGUGGACAAGUGUCUUUUAUACUGAUAACCCCUCCUGUCUUGUGUCGGGGGGCUAGAGUCAGUUUGUUAUAUCUGGAGUACUGCUCCUGUCCUAUCCGGUGUCCUGUGUUAAUUUAAGUAUGCUCUCUCUAAUUCUCUCUUUCUCUCUUUCUUUCUCUCUCUCGGAGGACUUGAGCCCUAGGACCAUGCCUCAGGACUACCUGACAUGAUGACUCCUUGCUGCUCCAGUUUCAAGUGUUCUGCCUGUGAUUAUUAUUAUUUAUGACCAUUUAUGAACAUUUGAACAUCUUGGCCAUGUUCUGUUACAAUCUCCACCCGGGACAGACAGAAGAGGACUGGCCACCCCACAUAGCCUGGUUCCUCUCUAGGUUUCUUCCUAGGUUUUGUCCUUUCUAGGGAGUUUUUCCUAGCCACCGUGCUUCUACACCUGCAUUGCUUGCUGUUUGGGGUUUUAGGCUGGGUUUCUGUACAGCACUUUGAGAUAUCAGCUGAUGUACGGAGGGCUAUGUAAAUACAUUUGAUUUAAUAACAAGUUCAAACAGGUGCCAUUAAUACAGGUAACGAGUGGAGGACAGAGGAGCCUCUUAAAUAAGAAGUUACAGGUCUGUGAGAGCCAGAAAUCUUGCUUGUUUGUAGGUGACCAAAUACUUAUUUUCCACCAUAAUUUGCAAAUAAAUUAAUAAAAUAUCCUACAAUGUGA